UGUAAUUGGACUUUUGAGUUACCUUGUAGUUACUGAGAUGUUUAUCACAUUACAGUUAUUGAGAUGUGUGACAAAUUUCCCAGUCACAGGCUCAUAUGAACAAAAUAUCUUGUCAAGCUGGCAAGAUGGCCGCAGUACCUUGGGGUAAGGACAGACGAGGCAAGAGAAGAGAUGGAAGGAUGAGGAGAGACAGAGAUGAGAGAGGGAAGAGGAAAAGAAAAAAUAAUUCCUGAACACACUGUCACUUGGUCCUCAACCAGCUGAGAGGCUCUUUCUUACGGUGCCAUGCGAUGGUACCGGACAUCUUUGGUGGACAGCAAUGGCUGCUCUUAAUGAGGACAGCCAGCAAUCCCCCAUUCCCUGUUCCUGCCCAAUCAUGGGGGACGGCAGCAGGCUCCGGCUCCGGGACUUGAGACUGGCUGAUGUGCAACAACUCGGACAAACAGAGACAUCUUGGCUGGGUUAAAUGGAUGAAGACCAUGAGUGACAAAGCAACAAAUAACAAAUCUGCUGCCAAGUUAAUAAAAGCUGCCGUCAAGGAUGCAGCCACAGACAAAAUACUCUUCUCUUUCAGCUGAGACCAUUCAGCAUUACCCAGCUCUUUACUGGAGUGAAGGAAAAAGGAAACUUUGGUGACUAUUCCCUCAGCCAUCAGGUGUUGCUUAUUAGUGUGUUUGUGGGCACUUUUUAUGCCAGUUUAGAUUUGCAAGAAUGAUAGUUACAGUUUCAGCAUUAGAAAGGGCAAUAAGGGGAAAUACAAAGAAUCCUGAAAAAGACAGAAAUAAUGCAAGUGUUCACUCAUUCAGCUUUUUGUUCAAUCGCCUUUGCUUUGUUUUAAACACUUAAACUCCACUCAUAGGCCUACUGGAAAUGUUCCUCAGGAUUUCUCAGAAAAAAACUGGGGUGAUAACAAACAUGUCUCAUUAUUUCUGAUCAGACUGACAGCAGAGGCUAAAACCGUUUGAAGUCGCUGGUGCCCCUGCUGUUAUCUAAAACUAGCCGCAUGCAGACCUCUCACUAUGGGGCAUCUGGACUGGCGGCACUCAGCCCCUCUCAGCUCACCGGUCUGUGCUAGGCCACUUAGACAGAUUAAUACUUAGCUAAG